rnacentral:rRNA from 1 species
AGGGUUGAUAGGCCGGGUGUGUAAGCGCAGCGAUGCGUUGAGCUAACCGGUACUAAUGAACCGUGAGGCUUAACCUUACAACGCCGAAGGUGUUU